rnacentral:rRNA from 1 species
AUUGAACGCUGGCGGCAUGCUUUACACAUGCAAGUCGGACGGCAGCACAGAGAAGCUUGCUUCUUGGGUGGCGCGUGGCGCACGGGUGAGUCAUAUAUCGGACCGUACUGAGUAAUGGGGGAUAACUAAUCGAAAGAUUAGCUAAUACCGCAUAUUCUCUGAGGCGGAAAGCUGGGGACCUUCGGGCCUUGCGUUAUUCGCGCGGCCGGUAUCUCAUUAGCUAGUUGGUGGGGUAAAGGCCUACCAAGGCCACGAUCAGUAGCGGGUCUGAGAGGGUGAUCGGCCACACUGGAACUGAGACACGGCCCAGACUCCUACGGGAGGCAGCAGUGGGGAAUUUUGGGCAAUGGGCGAAAGCCUGACGCAGCCACGCCGCGUGUGUGAUGAAGGCCUUCGGGUCGUAAAGGACUUUUGUCAGGGAAGAAAAGGCUGUUGCGAAUAUGAAUAGCUGAUGACGGUACCUGAAGAGUAAGCACCGGCUAACUACGUG